CGCACUUGCUUCCGCCUCAGCAGCUUGGUUUUCGUAUGCAUGUCUCCUCGCCGUCGAGGCGGCCGGCUCCGGCGCCGGCGCCGUGGAGGAACCGUGUAUGCCAUGGUCGAUUUGUUCAGACGUGUCAGGAACUCAGGAUGAGAAGUUUAUUUGUGGAGCAGUGAGCCACCAUCGAAUUGGAUGAGAGUUUUAGACGAUUACUGAUGAGCCCAUUAGUAUUUAAUUACUGUGAUGAUGGUGGAUUGGGAGAGUUAAUGAUGUCUGUCUCCUUCAUUAGCAAUCCCUUUGAGCUUGUGCAGUUUUGCACCCAGGACAUCAUCUGGAAUUCAGAUUUGAGAAAUCUUGCUACUAUCAUUGAGAUUUGAGCCUUCAGAACAUGACAGAAUAUGUAGAACAAGAGAUCAGUUUUUCGAGGUGCGAAUUUGACCAAGAAUCUCCCGGAUAGGUCACGCCACCUCUUAUGCAACACAGAGGCGACAGGCCGGCAGUGAAGCUCGCCGGAGCCAGGAAGGAACAGACUAUUUUUAACGUGUCUGCACGGAGACGCUGAAGCAGACAGGGUGAACGGUGUGAUGCGUGCUGACGAAAAAUCUAUGGAUGUAGCAACUAGAACAACGAUACAGCAACGAACGGGAGGUGGAGGAACCCCGGCCACCGGCGUCGGCGAGCCGGCAAGUGCUAUGCCUCUGUUCGGAUCCGCACAAACGAGGCUAGCUAUAGAGUGUGGAGGAUUGCUCUGGAGAACUGGAGAUUGAUCGGAUGAAGCGGAUUACGUGAUGAUCUGGAGAAAGUUUGCAUUUUUAUGGGGUUUGCCUGAUCUUGUUAAUUGGAAUCUGGAAUGCUUCAAUCUUUUGAUCAGGAGAAAGAAGGUUCAGUUUGCUGAUCACCAGAUCAAGGCUUACGUAAUGACAUGGAGAAAGUUUGCAUUUUUACGAGGUUUUGUUGGUUGGAAACUUGGAAUGCUUCAAUCUUGAUCAAGAGAAUAAAGAGAAAGAAAGGGCAUUUGGACCACGUCAGGUAGACAGGGAGUUGGCUAACAGAUUGCGAGUCAGUAUCAAGAAGUUAAAGCUGGAGUGAUAAACUGGCAGGAACUAGUUAGGGAGUUAUUACUCAGCCUAAAUACCAUUUCCUGAUUGCCCAGUUUCAAUUUCCUGUUUACUUGAAAAUAAAAGGUUCAGUUUUAUUUUCUGUAGAUCAGUUUCAAUAUCAUUCCAAGUGGAGAGUGGAACUGUUCUUCAGUUUUUUAGCAUCACUUUUGUCACAAAUUGAGAAAGAAAGCUCAC